rnacentral:rRNA from 1 species
UAUUUUACGUUUCCCCCUCCUUUGUACACACCGCCCGUCSMURCUAYCGAUUGAAUGGCUCAGUGAGGCGUCCGGACUGGCCCAGAGAGGCGGGCAACUGCCACUCAGGGCCGGAAAGCUCUCCAAACUCGGUCAUUUAGAGGAAGUAAAAGUCGUAACAAGGUCUCCGUUGGUGAACCAGCGGAGGGAUCAUUA